GAUGAACGCUGGCGGCGUGCCUAAUACAUGCAAGUCGAGCGGUAACACUUCGGGUGACGAGCGGCGGACGGCUGAGUAACACGUAGGAACGUACCCCAAACUGAGGGAUAAGCACCGGAAACGGUGUCUAAUACCGCAUGUGGUCUUCGGAUUAAAGCUUCGGCGGUUUGGGAACGGCCUGCGCAUGAUUAGCUUGUUGGGGAGGUAAUAGCUCACCAAGGCGACGAUCAUUAGCUGGUCUAAGAGGAUGAUCAGCCAGACUGGGACUGAGAACGGCCCAGACUCCUACGGGAGGCAGCAGUAGGGAAUCUUCCACAAUGGGCGAAAGCCUGAUGGAGCAACGCCGCGUGCAGGAUGAAGGCCUUCGGGUCGUAAACUGCUUUUAUUGGUGACGAUUAUGACGGUAGCCAAUGAAUAAGGAUCGGCUAACUCCGUGCCAGCCGCCGCAGUAA
rnacentral:rRNA from 1 species